UUCAGGUUCAUCUUUUCAUCUGAUUUAGUUUCGAGGAGUCGGUUGGUUGAAUUUGUUAAAGAUACAUCAUUUUGCCAUAACGUAGUUAACUAAUCAUGCUUCCUAUAAUUCUUGAUCUUGAUAAGUUGAUUAACUAUUUUCUCGGUAAACUUUAACUACAUACAAUUACCUCACUUUGCUCAAGCUAAUCAGACAUCAUGCCAGGAAUAGAAGAACAUCUUGAAUUAACAGAAUUACAAUGCAAAGCUGCUCCAGAGUAUAUGUGAUCUAACACAUGUAUUCCCUUCAAAUCCACGCUUUCAUCUUGGAUUUGAAAAACAACAAACUCAUCAAAGACCCCUUCACCAUCUUCUCUGUUCCUUUCCGUCUCCUUUAUUUUUCUUCAGUUAUAACUGAUUUUUCUUGCUGAAACCUUUGCUUGAGCAGUAGAAAAUUUGGGGAAAAUUGGAAGCUUCCUCAGCUGUUUAGCUUAAACUUUGCUCAGGGAAAUGAAGGUGAUCAAAUUUGAAGGGUCGCCACAAGUCAAUUUGAU